rnacentral:lncRNA from 1 species
CCCUAACCCUUUUCUUCCUCCAAAGCCCAACCCACCCCCACCCCCUCGCUCUCUCUCUCUCUCUCUCUCUCUCUCUCACACACACACACACACAUAUCCACACACACACACGAGAACCUGGUUCAAUGGCCCCAAAAUUAGAUCUCAGUCAUGUUUAUAUUUCUUCGUUUAAACUGACAGCCUGUGCUGAAUUCAUUUCGUUUUUUGACAAUUUAUACACUCUUCUUUCUCAUUCAAAGAUGUUGAUUCGGAGAGUCGCAAUCAGUGCUUAUUUAAGUUCUUUCUUGGUCGAUUAUUAUAGCUGAUCCAGCAGAAAAAAGAUAAGAUCAGUUGAUGCUAGAAUCUGAGCCGAUAGUUUCUUGCAUAAAAUCCAGGGAAUCACGAGCACCUGCUUUUGAUUUUUCUUGCCAUUUUUUCUUCACCUUUUUCGGUGAUUUGAAAUAUUCAAUUCCAUUUGAAGGGAAAAAUAACAAAAAAGAAAAUAGAGGUUUUCUUUUCUUUUCUUUCUUUCUUUCUUUUUUUUUUUUGGUAUCUCGUGUAGUUUGAAAAUGAGUUUGAAUACUUGAGGUUACUCUUAGUUACAUCAUCAAGUCAUUGCUCUACAUUUUGCCCAUUAGAAAUAAACCACAUCAGCCUCAAGCUCGUGGCUUUCUUUGAUUGUUCUGAUUCCAAUAUGCACAUAAAUCUCAGUGUUUAAUCUCUAAACCACAUACCCCUAGCACUUUUUGAUCCCUAAUUUGUUAUAGGUUUUCUCUCUGCAAGUCUUGGUGAUUUUAUGCAUGGAUCUAUACGUGUACACAGUCGUUGAUUUCUGGUGUAGCACCAUCAAGAUUCACAUAUAAAGGCAAGAUGGUAAACUGAUAUAGUCUCUCUCUCUCUCUACCAAAGCUUUUGAUGGUGAGAAUCUUGAUGAUGCUGCAUCGGCAAUAAACGACUAGCAAAUCAAUAGAAAAAGUCGGUCACAGGUGUGUCUCCUUUUUCAGUUAUUUGAUCAAGAUUCAAGAGGGUUAAACUCACUGUUUUCCAGUUCUUUUUAUGAUUCUCUGUCAGGUGGGAUUUUUGGUGUUUUCCAGGACUAAAAUAUUACUUUUACUGUUUUAUUUUCUCUUUGUUUUCUGUCAGCUGUAUCAAGAACAGACUAAAGUGACUACACUCUGCUGAUGAAAUACUCUGAUCGAGUACUGCAUAGAUCUGUGAUUAUUCUUCCGUGCAGAAAAAAGUCUCUAUAAUAGAGAUGGGAUGUAAAUGUAAUCAAGGGUCCAGAACUUGGGAGAGAGAAUAAUUACCAUAAAGUGGAAAUUGUUGGAUUCAUUUUUGCUUAUUUAUUUUUAACAUAUAACAUUCACCUGAUUUAUAUGCUUAUCAGACCUUGUUUAUGACUGUUUUCAGAAAUUAAUGCAUAUGCAAAUUGAAUGGUCAGCUUUGGACAAGAAUUUGCUGCGACAGCCAAUCAAUAAAAAGAGGUAAAGAAAAGAAAGUUUAUUAAAUGUUGUAUUUGCUUAUAGAAUAUAACUAAUGUAUUAAAUCAAUAUCACAUAGAAGUUUGGUUAUGUGUUUUUGUUUGUCUUUUAUAGAGGAGAUUCAAGAUAUAAAUGAUUAUUUUAUGGACAUUCUUAGUUAUAAGUGGAUUUUUUGUCUGUUCAAGUCAUAGUUUUCUUUAAAAAUUGCAACAUAUCUUGGAACUUCUCAGUGCAAAUUGUGGUAGAACUAAACCUGAUAGUAACGUGACUCCAUGGUUAGGUUUAUUGGUUUUAACAUUUGAUCACAAUCAGUCCUUUAGGUGGACCUUCUUGAGAAACAUCUAAGCAACUUGACCUAUUGAUAUGUACUCUCUCUCCGAACAUAGCCACCACUUAAUGGUAAUAUCCUCACAAGUUUGUCGAAGUAGCUUGGUUUUCCCUCGACCUAUGCAAUUGAUUAUGUUGAUAAUUUGAAUAAUUCAAUUAAAUAGAGAUUGUUAGAUGCACGUGUGUGGGAACAAUCUUUUUUUUUUUUUUUUAUGCGUGUUUGAAUAGAGAUCGAUGGUCUUCAUAGUCUUGGAUGUGUGAAGGGGUGCUAUAUAUGAGCCGAUGACAUAACUUGGCCUGAUGCAAUAGAAAGGCUUGUAAUCCAAGUGAAUUUUGUGCUUCAAAAGCUUACUUUGGAGGAAUUGAAUGACUUUGCCUAGAUUUGAUCACCAUUUUAUGUGGAUGGCCAAUGAUAUUAAUGUAGAUGAGGUACAAUGAAAUUAACAUUUGCUAAGUCAGCCAUUUAAUAUUUCUGAUUUCCAUGGAAAAAAUUUAGCCCUUGUUUGAGCCUCGUUCUUGUCAAAAAAUACAUUUUUGAAUAGUGUAUCGAUGGAUAAUGUGUGGUUAAAAAAUAAAAAUAAAAAUAAAAAGUUAUGAAUUUGCGUAUAAUAUUAUUUUAUUGAAGAAUGUGUGGUUGAAGCGGGGUCAACUAACUAUUGAAAAAUGUAUUUUGAUGGAAAAACAGGACUUAAAAGGAUUUUUGUAGUCAACCCGAAAUCUAUCAUGAACAAAGCUUGGUUCAUGUUGUUGUAGUUAUUGAGGUGCCAUUUGACCAUUCGAGUCCUUACCAGUAGUUCUCUCUUCUACUUUAUGUGUUGUCAAUCCAAAUUCUAUCCUGCUUACAGAUUUUCCGUCCAUAAUCGAAAUGUCGAAGCUAAUGUAGAGAAUAUUGCACUCUAGUCUACAUUUGCAUCAAUAAUAUUUGAUCAAUUAAAUAUAGUCCUGUACUACCUCAAAAUUUCUGCAAUUCUGUACCAGCAGAAUUGCAUUUCACAUAACGCUAACAAAAUAAGACACGAUAGGGGGUUGGGUGAUUGGCCUUUUUUUUAUUUUUUUAUUUUUUUUUAUUUUUUUUUAUCACAAUAUGGGACCUGCACAAUGUGAGAUUUC